rnacentral:lncRNA from 1 species
GUUCGUGGACCACACACCUAUCGCAUCAAGCCAGCGUUUCUUGGGUUUUCUUUGUAUUAAUUCUGGCUCAGCGACAUAUGCUGUGAUCCAGUCGAUCACUGCUUUCCUUUCCAGGCGGCCUAUUAGUUUGGCAUGUACGCUCACUUCUCAUGUGUAAAUGUGCCUCGUCUACGUACGCUGUCGACUCAAGCACUGAUUUCAUCUUCAAAGUUGGCAGCCAAGGAAGUGUACAAUGACUUCAUGCGAAUGUGCAUUCUCCUCAUUCAUUCACACAUUCGAAUGAACCCUUUCCCGCAAAUUAAUCGGAAGACCAGUGACGGGGUGCCCAGAGUAUGCGUAUAUGUGAGCAUAGCUUGCUUUUAUGCACGUAGCACAAGUUCCAGAACUGCGUGCUCGUGGACUUCCAGGAUCAUACACGAAACUACGGACUUGGGUUAGCUGCUGGGUCGUUGCCAGAGUAGUAGCAGAAAGAUCCUGAAGUUGGUGUAUUGUUGUCCAGACCACGCUUUCUGGAGAACGCUUGAUUUUCCCUCGCGGAGUGUCGGAGUAACACUUAGCCACACAGAGGGAAUUUAUUUUCCCAAUCUCUCGACAGUAUUCGAGCAGAGAUCGAAAAGGU